rnacentral:sRNA from 1 species
UUACUUCCAGAAUAUGACUGUACUUGGUUGAAGAGGAUAACCUUCCCGAAUAGAGGAGGAUGUUCUUCGGUCAAAAAACAUACAAAUGGCUGUGUUCUCCUGCUAGAACCUCCAAAGAAGCUCUUAAAAUAUUCCUGGUAAGCUGGGCACAGU